rnacentral:rRNA from 1 species
GAUGAACGCUGGCGGCGUGCUUAACACAUGCAAGUCGAACGAAGCAUUUCUUUUGGAAGUCAUCUAGCUUGCUAGAAGGUGGACAUGUGAAAUGACUGAGUGGCGGACGGGUGAGUAACGCGUGAGUAACCUGCCUUAUACAGGGGGAUAACAGUUGGAAACGACUGCUAAUACCGCAUAAGCUUACAGUACCGCAUGGUACCGUAAGAAAAACUCCGGUGGUAUAAGAUGGACUCGCGUCUGAUUAGCUAGUAGGUAAGGUAACGGCUUACCUAGGCGACGAUCAGUAGCCGACCUGAGAGGGUGACCGGCCACAUUGGGACUGAGACACGGCCCAAACUCCUACGGGAGGCAGCAGUGGGGAAUAUUGCACAAUGGGGGAAACCCUGAUGCAGCGACGCCGCGUGAAGGAUGAAGUAUUUCGGUAUGUAAACUUCUAUCAGCAGGGAAGAAAAUGACGGUACCUGACUAAGAAGCCCCGGCUAAUUACGUGCCAGCCGCCGCCGUAAUAC